rnacentral:rRNA from 2 species
GGAGGAAAAGAAACUAACAGGGAUUCCCUCAGUAAGGGCGACUGAAAUGGGAAAAGCCCAGCGCAUAAGCUCGCUUUGCCCUUCACCGGGCGCGAGCGGUGUUGCGUUUCGGAGGGUCCGGCACGCCGCCUUACGACGCCUAAGUCAUGCUUGAAAGCGGCCACUACCCACUGAGGGUGAAAGGCCCGUCUGGCGGAGCCCGUGAGGGCAUAAGUGAGGCGGUCGGAAAGGACCUUUCCGUAGAGUCGGGUUGCUUGAAAGUGCAGCCCAAAGCAGGUGGUAAACUCCUUCU